UCGGCUUGUAAUGUAGGCUUGGGACUGGUAUGGUACAUAUGGACAUAUCAAGUGACUAAGCCUCCUUGGUGCUACACUAACUUUGGGGUCCACACUUAACCCAUAUUUCACUUUAUUUCCUCCCUUAUUUCUACUAAUUUUUUCACUUAUUUUUCACUUUUACCCACCCUCUUUACACUACGAACUCCUAUGAUAGCCACCCUCAACUUAGGAUUUUUUUCCUUAG
rnacentral:lncRNA from 1 species